AGUCGAGCGGACCUCUUCGGAGGUCAGCGGCGGACGGGUGAGUAACACGUGGGCAACCUGCCUGUAAGACUGGGAUAACUCCGGGAAACCGGAGCUAAUACCGGAUACUAUGUCAAACCGCAUGGUUUGACAUUCAAAGACGGUUUCGGCUGUCACUUACAGAUGGGCCCGCGGCGCAUUAGCUAGUUGGUGAGGUAAUGGCUCACCAAGGCGACGAUGCGUAGCCGACCUGAGAGGGUGAUCGGCCACACUGGGACUGAGACACGGCCCAGACUCCUACGGGAGGCAGCAGUAGGGAAUCUUCCGCAAUGGACGAAAGUCUGACGGAGCAACGCCGCGUGAGUGAUGAAGGUUUUCGGAUCGUAAAACUCUGUUGUCAGGGAAGAACAAGUGCCGGAGUAACUGCCGGCGCCUUGACGGUACCUGACCAGAAAGCCACGGCUAACUACGUGCCAGCAGCCGCGGUAAUACGUAGGUGGCAAGCGUUGUCCGGAAUUAUUGGGCGUAAAGCGCGCGCAGGCGGUUUCUUAAGUCUGAUGUGAAAGCCCCCGGCUCAACCGGGGAGGGUCAUUGGAAACUGGGAAACUUGAGUGCAGAAGAGGAGAGUGGAAUUCCACGUGUAGCGGUGAAAUGCGUAGAGAUGUGGAGGAACACCAGUGGCGAAGGCGACUCUCUGGUCUGUAACUGACGCUGAGGCGCGAAAGCGUGGGGAGCGAACAGGAUUAGAUACCCUGGUAGUCCACGCCGUAAACGAUGAGUGCUAAGUGUUAGAGGGUUUCCGCCCUUUAGUGCUGCAGCUAACGCAUUAAGCACUCCGCCUGGGGAGUACGGUCGCAAGACUGAAACUCAAAGGAAUUGACGGGGGCCCGCACAAGCGGUGGAGCAUGUGGUUUAAUUCGAAGCA
rnacentral:rRNA from 1 species